rnacentral:rRNA from 1 species
CCUGCCCACUGUUGUAUAAAGGGCUGCAGUAUCUUGACUGUGCAAAGGUAGCAUAGUAGAUUGCCUUUUAAAAGGGGGCUGGUAUGAAAGGUUAAACAAGGUUAAAGCUGUUCCCCUGGUUUUGUCAAAUUUAAAGUUACUGUAAAAAUUCAGUAGUUACACUGAGGGACGAUAAGACCCUAUAAAUUUUAGUAAGUUUAGGUCGUUUAAGAAACUUUGACGCUGUUUUACUUAGUUGGGGCAACAUUAAUGGGUAAAUCAUUAGUUUAACUACAGUAUAGCUGUGUGCAAGAGCCGGAGUUCCGCAAAAGAUAAAAAUACUUUAGGGAUAACAGCGUUAUUGUCUCGGAGAGUUCAAAUCUAUGGGACAGAUUACGACCUCGAUGUUGAAUUAAGGUAACUCUUGGGUGUAGCAGCUUAAGAUUGUUAGCCUGUUCGGCUAUAUUACUCUUACGUGAUCUGAGUU